UGGGUAACCUGCCUCAAAGAGGGGAAUAGCCUCCCGAAAGGGAGAUUAAUACCGCAUAAUAUGUUUAAGUCGCAUGACUUUAACAUCAAAGGAUUUUUCUUUUAAGAAAUUCCACUUUGAGAUGGACCCCGCGGCGCAUUAGCUAGUUGGUGAGGUAACGGCUCACCAAGGCAACGAUGCGUAGCCGACCUGAGAGGGUGAACGCCACAUUGGAACUGAGACACGGUCCAGACUCCGUACGGGAGCAG
rnacentral:rRNA from 1 species